rnacentral:ncRNA from 1 species
CAGGAACCCGGUGCGAAUCCGGGACGGUCCCGCCACUGUGGCCAGGGAGCGGCCCGCAACGAGCGCCACUGCCGGAUGUCCUCCGGUGGGAAGGCGGCGGGCGAGCGGUGAUCUGGAAGUCAGGAGACUG